CGUAACGGGAGUCUACCAUGCGGUCGACGGUAGCACAGAGAGCUUGCUCUCGGGUGACGAGUGGCGGACGGGUGAGUAAUGUCUGGGAAACUGCCUGAUGGAGGGGGAUAACUACUGGAAACGGUAGCUAAUACCGCAUAACGUCGCAAGACCAAAGAGGGGGACCUUCGGGCCUCUUGCCAUCAGAUGUGCCCAGAUGGGAUUAGCUAGUAGGUGGGGUAACGGCUCACCUAGGCGACGAUCCCUAGCUGGUCUGAGAGGAUGACCAGCCACACUGGAACUGAGACACGGUCCAGACUCCUACGGGAGGCAGCAGUGGGGAAUAUUGCACAAUGGGCGCAAGCCUGAUGCAGCCAUGCCGCGUGUAUGAAGAAGGCCUUCGGGUUGUAAAGUACUUUCAGCGGGGAGGAAGGGAGUAAGGUUAAUAACCUUGUUCAUUGACGUUACCCGCAGAAGAAGCACCGGCUAACUCCGUGCCAGCAGCCGCGGUAAUACGGAGGGUGCAAGCGUUAAUCGGAAUUACUGGGCGUAAAGCGCACGCAGGCGGUCUGUCAAGUCGGAUGUGAAAUCCCCGGGCUCAACCUGGGAACUGCAUUCGAAACUGGCAGGCUGGAGUCUUGUAGAGGGGGGUAGAAUUCCAGGUGUAGCGGUGAAAUGCGUAGAGAUCUGGAGGAAUACCGGUGGCGAAAGGCGGCCCCCUGGACAAAGACUGACGCUCAGGUGCGAAAGCGUGGGGGAGCAAACAGGAUAAGAAACUGUGUGGUUGAUACAAAA
rnacentral:rRNA from 1 species